rnacentral:rRNA from 1 species
AGAGUUUGAUCCUGGCUCAGAACGAACGCUGGCGGCAUGCCUAACACAUGCAAGUCGAACGCUUUUGGGGUUUCGGCCUCAAGGGAGUGGCGCACGGGUGAGUAGCGCGUGGGAACCUGCCCUGUUGUGGGGGAUAACCGAGGGAAACUUCGGCUAAUACCGCAUGCGCCGGUUGUCUUGAGAGAGAUGGCCGGGAAAGAUUUAUCGCAGCAGGAGGGGCCCGCGUCGGAUUAGCUAGUUGGUGGGGUAACGGCUCACCAAGGCGUCGAUCCGUAGCUGGUCUGAGAGGAUGAUCAGCCACACUGGGACUGAGACACGGCCCAGACUCCUACGGGAGGCAGCAGUGGGGAAUAUUGGACAAUGGGCGCAAGCCUGAUCCAGCAAUGCCGCGUGAGUGAUGAAGGCCUUAGGGUUGUAAAGCUCUUUCGCCCGCGACGAUGAUGACGGUAGCGGGAGAAGAAGCCCCGGCUAACUUCGUGCCAGCAGCCGCGGUAAUACGAAGGGGGCGAGCGUUGUUCGGAUUUACUGGGCGUAAAGGGCGCGUAGGCGGCGGACCAAGUCGAGUGUGAAAGCCCCGGGCUCAACCUGGGAGGUGCGCUCGAGACUGGUUGGCUGGAGUUCGGGAGAGGAGCGUGGAAUUCCCAGUGUAGAGGUGAAAUUCGUAGAUAUUGGGAAGAACACCGGUGGCGAAGGCGGCGCUCUGGACCGAGACUGACGCUGAGGCGCGAAGGCGUGGGGAGCAAACAGGAUUAGAUACCCCCGUAGUCC